rnacentral:tRNA from 1 species
GGAAGAAGCCGCGGCGCAAAUUUGGCCUCCGAAGCCGAGGGUCGCGCGUUCGAAUCGCGCCUUUCCA